rnacentral:rRNA from 1 species
UGCAGCAGGCGCGAAACCUCCGCAAUGCGGGAAACCGCGACGGGGUCAGCCGGAGUGCCGAUGCUUGCAUCGGCUGUCGGGGAGCCUAAAAAGCUCCCCAUAGCAAGGGCCGGGCAAGGCCGGUAGCAGCAGCCGCGGUAAUAC